rfam:Gossypium raimondii Chr10_contig_431, whole genome shotgun sequence.
CACAUUAGCGCGUUUGGCUGACGUGGCAACAAAUCACGUCCUUGAGGGGCGAUUUGUUGCCACAUCAGCAAAGCGCGCUGACGUGG